rnacentral:sRNA from 1 species
GGCUACUAUGACAAAAGACAGAAGAGAAUUAACUUAGAAAAAAGGAUGCUUGGUUGAUCCUGUUGCACUGGGCUUGUGGUGACAUGGCAAAUCAUUUUAGGACCCUACAGUGGAGGAAGACUGCUCACCUCAGGACAACUGGAAAAUAAAGCAUUGACCGAAGGAUCCAGGAUCCUCAGGAAAUUAUUUAGGGACAUCAUCUUACCCAAUGUUAUUCUACUUGGUCCUUUCUUGUAAUGGUUUUACUCUCUCCCAAUUACAGUGCACCAGGUUGAUUACCAAGCCUUUGACUUACGUACUUUCAAGGAACAUCCAAGGCCCUGCAGAACUGUAUAUAUUGAAAUGAAGUUUUCUUGUUGUCAAAAAAUAUUCACCAUCGAUACUUGCAGGCGAUGUGUGCACCGAUGAACUCUAUUAAUAAUUACCAGCAAUUGCAACCCCCACUGGAUCAUGGCGAGGGAUGGAGAGGUCUUGCUUGAUGCUCAAGUGCACAGCACCCAAUGCUUAUCCACCUCAGGCGAUAAUGGUUGAGGAACAUGCUGAACCUCUGGUUCAGACAGAUCACUAUUUCCAGAUGAUUAUCCCACACAGUUCAAAUCAAGAAACACCAGAAAUGCCCAAUGGUUCCCCAUCUUAAAAUGACGCUGCAUAAAUGAAAUCCACAGCAAUCCCCAGGGGAGGGAUGCUUUUCCUCACUAUAAAGAACCUGUAUUCCUGGGAAUAAGUCUGUUGACAGAAAAGUUGCUUUAUUUAUUCUCAGAAUCAUGCGACCAAUGUUUAGGUAGGGAUCCACAGAAUCGCCUUCUGUUGCAGUCUCACGGUUCCAUCAGUGUCCUUAUAUGAGAUCCUGUUCAUUCCUGCACCAUCACAUUAUAUUUUUGCCGAGGAUCUUUGCUAGCAGUUUAUUGAGAUUAUUUUCCACAAGAAUCAAUUUUGGCAUUUUCCUCUUCUUCACUUUGUUUUUCACUCUUUCAAAUCAAAUUUCAAUCUUGCACAUUACUUCUCCUUAUGCUGUAUUCAGUGUUGACAGAAAAGAGGGAAAUUUGUGUUCACUGCUGCUCCAAAUCAAUAUAGAGACACAAGGGAAAAUCAACAAGCAAGAAUCUUAGAGACAUUUCACAGAGGAUUUACAAAUGGAUAUUCUGCAUAUGAGAAAGCCUGCAAAAAAAAGCCCAAUCAAGAUAGGAAUCAAGAAUAUGAAGUAACUAUAAAUAUUGAUGGCAGAGAUAUGACUUUGCAUGGCUCAGAAAACUUUAUGCAUCUAUUAAAAUCAAACAUGCAUAUUUAACA